ACUCCGCUCCCCACAGCGCCGAACCAGUUCAUCGCCAAACGUGUGCUCGAAUCUCAAUUCGUACACAUCCUUAAUAAUCCAUAAUGGUGGAUUAUUAACUGUCUGAACUGAUUCAGUGCCAAACCUGUGCUCAAAUUCCAGUUUGUGCACAUCAUUAGGGAUUAGACAAUGUUGUAUAAUUAUCAGUUGAAUGUGUGUGUAAGCUGGUCUGUGUGCACCUGAAAACAAUCAUAGGGAAGUGUCUGUAAAUAAGAUAAUUUUAUAUUUAGCUGAAGUAUGUCUAUGAUGAGCAUAGAACUAGCUUGUCACCUGAAAGAAGAUUUUUCUAUGCAGCAAGUGACAGCUGGAGAUUUACUGAGACAGAACUGAGGCGGAAACAAGGGGGAGAGCUCAUUAUUUAGUUAUGGAUUCAUUGGCUUUUUGCCUGCUUGGUGUCCUCAACAUCAAAGAAUCCGCAAUAUACAGAUACAUCCAAGCAGCUAUUUUUUUUACAAAAGUACAUUUAUAACUUUAAAAGACAACAAAGAAUACUAAUAUUAAGCUAAGUUUGUAUUAUCUCUAUUCCCUAAUUUUUCCUUCACUCUGCCUUAAGCUCUAGCAAGAUGUUGUAAUUGUCAUUUUUGCCCUAUUCCCCCAGGACUUCAGGUGAAGGUGGGAUGUGAGAAAUUUCCUUCCAGAGCUGCUUGCAUUGGAAAGAUAAGAUGACUUGGAUGGACAAUUGAGAAAGGAGCCUGAGGGCCAGCAUGCCUUUGUAACCAGUAUUCUUCGCCAUGUGCUAAAUUCAUUCCAGGACACCGUGGGGAUUCUUGUCAUGAGCCUACUGUGUAAGUGUACAUCAUGGAAAUCAACAAGCUGGUAGAGAGGGACACUUUCAAAAUGGGGUUCCUUUUCCCUGUCCCAAUUAGUAAGGAACCCUGAAUGUCUGAAAUCUCUAGAGAUGGCUUGAGUAAGGUGAUAUUGGCUUGUAUUUCCUGCCUCUUCAUCUUUCUAUCAUCGCCACUGCCACUGCCUUCUCUUCUUCCUCCUCUUCUUCUGGAAUCUCUUCUUCAGCUGGUCCCCGGAUUCGUACAGCUUCUUUUUGUGGUGGCUGAUAUCCAUUUUCUUUCUCCCUAAAUACAGAAUAUGGCACAGAAAGGGACUGGUUUCAGUUAAUUCUGUUUAUUUAUUUAAAACUAGUAGGUGAGAUCUACAAUUGACCUAUUGGCACAGUGGGGAAGUAACUUACCUAAGGAGCAAGAGGUUGCUGGUUCAAAUCCCUGUUGGUAUUUUCCCCAGACUAUGGGAAACACCUAUACUGGGCAGCAGCGAUAUAGGGAGAUGCUGAAAGGCAUAAUCUCACACUGCGUGGGCGAUGACAGUGGUUAAACCCCUUUGGUAUUCUACCAAAGACAACCACAUGGCUCUGUGGUCGCCAGGAGUCGACACUGACUUGAUGGCACAACUUUAACUUUAGUCAUUUUAUAUAGAUUAUAUUGAUAGGAAAGUCUUAAGAAAUUGAAUAUAUAACAAUUUUUAUUAAUGUGCUUGCAAAAGGGAUGUAAAAGCAACAGUUUUAAAUGUGUAGGAUGUCAACUUCAAAUGUCAUAUACCAUGCAUAGGAAAUUUAAAUCAUAAUAAAUUUGAAUCUUAGAAAGAACUUCUGCUUCUCUUGGACAUGUCGCUUCUUAAAUUAUUGAUCUGAUUGACUGUUAAAUCUAAGAACAAUAAAAGGCAAAACUAUGCUUAUAUUCAGAAUUUAUUCUAAAAAUAAGUUAUAAUUUAAACCGUUCAUUCAGCAUAUUGUGGAGUGUAAAGUAGUUCACUCAGAUAAUUUUAAGUGACAUCUUGUUAUUUGGGAUGUGUAAGUAAUUGGGAAGUAGUACUUUUUCUCUCAAAGUCUCACACUCUAAAAUAUAUAAAAAUAGUUGUAGACAGUGACUCAAUACUGCAGAACUGGAACUGCCAAUCACUGUUCCAGUUUCCUUUCAGUCUAACAGCUUCCUGCAGUCCAUGCUGAAAGGAGGGGCUGGUGUAAGAGGAUCACAGUGGGAGAUUGCCCAUUGUCAGCAGAUAUCAGGGAGACAGUAGAUGUUCUUAACUGGUGUUUGCAGGCUGUGUAAAGAUCAGCUUCUAAUCACCUCCUCCUUUCCCCUAAAGAGUGAACUGGAAGUGAACACUGUCGUGACUGACAGGCUGGUGAAUUCUAGGGAUUGGCCAGUAAGCACACCAGGUGGGUGGGACCUAGGGGGCCAUGACGAGAAAGAGAAGGUAUCCUUUGUUAGAAAGAAGCUGGGCUGGGCUUGCAGCAAGACAUGUGGCCAUGGAAAUGGCUGCAGAAAGGAGGAUUGCGUGCCACCUCAAUAUCUACUGGGGUGGUUUUUGAAGUAUUCUUGUAACCUACUGAGUAUUCCUUUUAUCUGUAAUUAAAAGCUGAGAGAAUCUCAUCCUGAAGCAGUCUGUAGUAUUUGAAAAGCUUAAUUUUUCUUUUUGUUUUUUGCAAUUUUACAAGCCCCUUUGAGUGGAUUUUUAAUUCAGAAAAUGGGGGCUGAAAGGGUUUUUUGUCUCUGGUGCAAUAUGUCUCAGAUCAUUCAGCAACCUACCAGUUUUCUCACCAUGUGUAAGCUUGUACAUGAAAGGCUUUUGUACUUUUCCAAUAGCUGAGGAGAGUGCUUCCCUGGGAAUUCCACCCAAGCCUGGGAGAGGGGGUCAAACUCUGUUAAUAAUGAGGUGGUGGUGGCAGCGGCACCAUGAGCUACUGGGAAUAAAUGGAAGUUUUGGGGGAGAAGCCUUUGUUCUGAAAGCAUGGAGGGAAUGAUUCAGCAUUUUUCUUCCUCUCACGUGGGUUUGACCUAAGACAAAGGCUUGGUAAAUCCGCUACUGGCUAGAUGGGGGCAAACAAGCUGAAACCUAAUCCAGAUAAGAGGGAAGUGUUAACAAAUGGUUGUCCAAGAACAGAUGUGGAAUUGAAACUAAUUAGCAUUAACCUUUGUGGCAAUAUUCUGCAACAGGAACUGCUUAGAUCCACACUAGGAAAGAAAUAAUGGUUGAGUUGUGACUUUAUUUUUUAAAAUAAUUAUACCUCGCCCUUCCAGUACACUACUGCUCAGGGUGGUUCACAAAAUAAAAUAGAUACAAAAUAAAAAUAAAAAUAAGGGUUAAAAUACCAAGCUGAAACUACAUUUUUAACAAGUUACAAAUUAAAGUUAUAAAAACCUGAUAGGUUUUUAGCAUUUUACCUAUAACUUUAAUUUGUAACAAGAUACAUUGAGAAAAGAUUAGUUUAAUUCAUUAAAUUGAUGUAUCUUUUACUAAAUAGUUACACCUACUCUAUACAUCAAUGUUUUUAGGUUUUAAAGUUCCAUUUUAUUAUAACUUGUUUUGCUGCUAUUGCCUAUACAUCUCAUUAUUUAACUGGUGCUGGAUCCAAAUAGUUCUGGCAUCUUGCUGUUUAACUGCUGUGUCUUUUUUGCAUAAAAUGAAACUUGAUUUAUCAGAAGGGGGUUAGAUGAGGUUUGAUAACAUGCUGGAAAACUCUCAUCUCCAGUGAAAACAUACAUGUUAGUUCUCCUCCCCCCCCCCCCCCAUAUUUUGGUAAAUAGGAUUGUGCUUGUCUCUGCAUGUAUGAGGGCAGGGGGGAUAAUGUUGAAACAAUACACUGAUCUCGCCUGUAGACUUAAGUCGUGAAGUCAAAAUUGGCCAAAAUGAUUUUCCAGUUUCGUGGGUCUACUUGAACUAGAGUUCUGUGUGCUAUUACUUCUGUGCUAGAUCUUUAUGUAUGUAGAUACAAGGAGGUGGCAAUAGAAGUCCUCUAUGGAACACACAAAUAUGUCCUUGAGGGUCUUACAGCCCUCAGACAUACUUGUAUGUUGCACAGAUGUGUGGGAAGAAGAGACUGGUGAAAGUCACUUCCUGUGUGUGAGCACCUGUGCUUCAGAAGCAGAAACACAUCUGCUGCACAUACUUAUUUUGGCUGCACAUGCACAGCAUUAGUCGGAAGGUCAGCUACUGGCCCAUAACAUUUUUUUAUGUCUUGUGGUAGCAAGCAUGACUUGUCUUAACUAAGCAGGGUCUGCCCUGGUUGCAUAUGAAAGGGAGACUUGAUGUGUGAACACUGUAAGAUAUUCCCCUCAGGGGAUGGAGCCACUCUGGGAAGAGCAGAAGGUUUCAAGUUCCCUCCCUGGCUUCUCCAAGAUAGGGCUGGGAGAGAUUCCUACUUGCAACCUUGGAGAAGCCACUGCCAGUCUGUGAAGACAAUACUGAGCUAGAUAGACCAAUGGUCUGACUCAGUAUAUGGCAGCUUCCUAUGUUCCUUUCCUGCAUGCUAAGACAAGGCCUCAAAUUAUGCAAAUAUCUAGACAUUUCAGCAUUAACUCUUUAUAGAAACUCACUGAGUUUCAUUAGUUUUUCAUGAAACUCACUGGAUAACUCUGGGUCAGCCACUUAACUCUCAGCCUAACCUACCUCAUAGACUUUUUGAGGAUAAACAUAACCAUGUACUUUGGAGGAAGAGCAAGCUAUAAAUGUAAAAGAAGGCAUGGUUGAAGCUGAUCUCAAAAUACUCCAAUGUGGUUUUGAAUAUGUUUUUAUUUUCUUUAUUCCCAUAACAGGUACUAUAGCGCAUCUCACAGCAGUAACCUCCCAGUUUGGAGCAGGCAUAUGACAUAAUUUCUUAGAUGGUGAUUAAAUUUGGGACUUGCUCUGGUUAUCAAGCAGAAACUGAUUACUCCAUAGAGCAAUGGUCAAGCCACUUAGGUGGUCUUAAAUCUACAUGCCUAAGUGUGAAGCUGCUCUCACCAUUAUAGCUGGUAGAAGUGAAGGGUUUUGCUAUUUUUUGUUACUUAAAACUUGCAUCAACACAACUCUGGUUGAUAACCCACAUAAUCAACAUCUGAAACUACAAAGGAAGGUAAUGUGAUAGUAAACACAUUAUGUAUGUAUUUUUAAUUUUUUUAAAUUAGAUCUGUUUUUAUAUUUUAGCAUAAUAUUUUAAUUGUGUAACUUUUAUAGUCUUGUUAGCUUUCUAUGUGAACUGCCUUGUGAUUGUUUUAAUGAAAGGCGGUAUAUCAAUUUAACAAUAAAUUUUAAAAAUAAAGCCUGGGCAUGUUCUAAUUGAGAACAAGAAGAGAUCUCUUCCCUUCUCCAGAAAAGAGGCCGCGUAAAUCUCAUUGGGCAGGUUCAGACAUAAUGUGAAACCACAGUUUAUUUCAUUCCCUCAACAAACUGAUUUAUUUGGGGCAGUCAAACCACAAUCUGAACCCAAGGUUUGAAAAGGGUUUAUUUGUCCUGGCCAGGGUUUCUGUGAUGUCUGAACCAACAUUUGUGGCUUAAUCUUGAUUUCUAUCAAUAAGAUAGAAUCUUAAGGGUAAUCUGCCCUUGCAGGGCUUCCUAUGUGAGUGAGGCAAACAUUGAUUAUGGGAGGGAAGGAGGAGGAGUGUGACCCCAACAAACAUGUUAUGGCAAAACAAACCUAUGUAUCUGUAGCAUGUUUAAUCCAUGUUUGUUAAAUAAACCAUAGUUAAAAGAAAUAGUAGUUCCAUCUGUGAUGUCUGAGCCCUCCCACUGACUUCAUUGAGAUUUAACCAGCCUAAAGUCACAUUCUUUACAACAGCAGUGGGGAAUGAAGAGUCUUGAACUUACUGCCUUUCUCAAGAAUAGGCACACUCUGUGCUACUUAUGUACAACCCACAUUUCUAAGCAAAAAAAUACUCACAUCUCAUAGUCAUCGCCUUUUUUAUUUCUACAGCAGCAACAAUAAGCCAGGACGCCAAUAAUGAUGAUUGCUGCAACAACCCCACCAAUUAUUCCAGCAUAGAGGGCAAUGUUCAUGGAUGCUGUGAAGAAAAUGUUUAGCACUGUCAUCUGUAGUUGAUAAACAAAACUCAUUCCCCUUUGGGAAGACAUUAGUUCUCACCGUCUAA